GAUGAACGCUGGCGGCGUGCCUAAUACAUGCAAGUCGAGCGAACAGACGAGGAGCUUACUCCUCUGACGUUAGCGGCGGACGGGUGAGUAACACGUGGAUAACCUACCUAUAAGACUGGGAUAACUUCGGGAAACCGGAGCUAAUACCGGAUAACAUGUUGAACCGCAUGGUUCAACAGUGAAAGACGGUCUUGCUGUCACUUAUAGAUGGAUCCGCGUCGCAUUAGCUAGUUGGUAAGGUAACGGCUUACCAAGGCAACGAUGCGUAGCCGACCUGAGAGGGUGAUCGGCCACACUGGAACUGAGACACGGUCCAGACUCCUACGGGAGGCAGCAGUAGGGAAUCUUCCGCAAUGGGCGAAAGCCUGACGGAGCAACGCCGCGUGAGUGAGGAAGGUCUUCGGAUCGUAAAACUCUGUUAUUAGGGAAGAACAAAUGUGUAAGUAACUAUGCACGUCUUGACGGUACCUAAUCAGAAAGCCACGGCUAACUACGUGCCAGCAGCCGCGGUAAUACGUAGGUGGCAAGCGUUAUCCGGAGUUAUUGGGCGUAAAGCGCGCGUAGGCGGUUUUUUAAGUCUGAUGUGAAAGCCCACGGCUCAACCGUGGAGGGUCAUUGGAAACUGGAAAACUUGAGUGCAGAAGAGGAAAGUGGAAUUCCAUGUGUAGCGGUGAAAUGCGCAGAGAUAUGGAGGAACACCAGUGGCGAAGGCGACUUUCUGGUCUGUAACUGACGCUGAUGUGCGAAAGCGUGGGGAUCAAACAGGAUUAGAUACCCUGGUAGUCCACGCCGUAAACGAUGAGUGCUAAGUGUUAGGGGGUUUCCGCCCCUUAGUGCUGCAGCUAACGCAUUAAGCACUCCGCCUGGGGAGUACGACCGCAAGGUUGAAACUCAAAGGAAUUGACGGGGACCCGCACAAGCGGUGGAGCAUGUGGUUUAAUUCGAAGCAACGCGAAGAACCUUACCAAAUCUUGACAUCCUCUGACCCCUCUAGAGAUAGAGUUUUCCCCUUCGGGGGACAGAGUGACAGGUGGUGCAUGGUUGUCGUCAGCUCGUGUCGUGAGAUGUUGGGUUAAGUCCCGCAACGAGCGCAACCCUUAAGCUUAGUUGCCAUCAUUAAGUUGGGCACUCUAAGUUGACUGCCGAUGACAAACCGGAGGAAGGUGGGGAUGACGUCAAAUCAUCAUGCCCCUUAUGAUUUGGGCUACACACGUGCUACAAUGGACAAUACAAAGGGUAGCGAAACCGCGAGGUCAAGCAAAUCCCAUAAAGCUGUUCUCAGUUCGGAUUGUAGUCUGCAACUCGACUACAUGAAGCUGGAAUCGCUAGUAAUCGUAGAUCAGCAUGCUACGGUGAAUACGUUCCCGGGUCU
rnacentral:rRNA from 1 species